ACGGGAUGGGCGAGGCCUGUCGGCGCGACGCCGCGUGAGCGAAGAAGGCCUUCGGGUCGUAGAGCUCUGUUGUGAGGGACGAAGGAGCGCCGUUCGAAGAGGGCGGCGCGGUGACGGUACCUCACGAGGAAGCCCCGGCUAACUACGUGCCAGCAGCCGCGGUAAUA
rnacentral:rRNA from 1 species